UACAGUCACAUCAUGUUGUAAACACCAGUUCCCAUAUGGUCACUGAAGUUAAGCAAUAUUGAGCCUUGUCAGUAUCUAGAUGGGUAACCGCUUGGGAAUACCAAGUGCUGUAA